rnacentral:rRNA from 1 species
UUUGAAAGGGAAACGAUUGAAGUCAGUCGUACCUGCGGGUAAUCAGCCUUUUGGGUGUGAUUAUGUGGAGCGUGAGGAGCUAAUCGCCUUCAUCUUUGCAUAUUUGUGCACUUUGGGUGUACUUGCUCGUGUGGUAGGUUAACAUCAAUUUUGAUCGUCAUAAAAUGGCUAGAGGAAUGUAGCUUCGAUCUCGUAUUGAAGUGUUAUAGCCUUUGGUAGAUGUGAUGAUUAGGAUUGAGGAUUGCAACGGAUACCCUUCGGGGCUACCUGCCUGAUCUCUGAAAGUUGCUCUGGUGCUGAAAGCUUGCUUAUGGUAUCAAAGUGACGUCAAUAGUG